rnacentral:rRNA from 1 species
AUUGAACGCUGGCGGCAUGCUUUACACAUGCAAGUCGAACGGCAGCGCGGGCUUCGGCCUGGCGGCGAGUGGCGAACGGGUGAGUAAUGCAUCGGAACGUGCCCGGUAGUGGGGGAUAGCACGGCGAAAGCCGGAUUAAUACCGCAUACGACCUGAGGGUGAAAGCGGGGGACCGAAAGGCCUCGCGCUAUUGGAGCGGGCGAUGUCGGAUUAGCUAGUUGGUGGGGUAAAGGCUUACCAAGGCGACGAUCCGUAGCUGGUCUGAGAGGACGACCAGCCACACUGGGACUGAGACACGGCCCAGACUCCUACGGGAGGCAGCAGUGGGGAAUUUUGGACAAUGGGGGCAACCCUGAUCCAGUCAUGCCGCGUGCGGGAAGAAGGCCUUCGGGUUGUAAACCGCUUUUGUUCGGGAAGAAAUCCUCUGGGCUAAUACCCCGGGGGGAUGACGGUACCGGAAGAAUAAGCACCGGCUAACUACGUG